GCGGGGAUAGCUCAGUUGGGAGAGCGUCAGACUGAAGUUCAACUUCAGUAACUGAAAAUCUGAAGGUCGUGCGUUCGAUCCGCACUCACCGCA